rnacentral:lncRNA from 10 species
AAGCAUAGUGCUUAGUGUUGCUCCCUUAGAAAUUCUUCCCUCAAAGCAUCCUGGGGGUCAGCUCAGCCUCAAGUCACUUUGGGACCUCAGGGACAGAUUUUGGGGGGUGGUAAGAAAUGGCAACCAGGUUGGGUGUAGGAUGACCCCUGAGAAAAGCAGUCAGAAGUCCAGAAUAUUAUAUCCCAAAGCACUGGAAAUCAGGCUGACUUCACUGUUUUUGUUCCUGGACUAUGGUCAGGUAAGUAGGGAUUGGUGGAAAGGGUUCUUGCAGCAAGAAUACUGAAAAUUAAAUGAAUUAUGGCUUUGUGGAUCUAUAUAGAUAGAACUCCAAUUGGAGAUCCAGGUGAGGGGUCUGCCAUAAACCAAGGUAUCUGACAAACAGGCAAGGCCCUAGGCGAGACUCUGGACUCAGCAGGGAAAACCAGAGCCUGAAGCAGGUACACCAGGCUGAAAUCAAACCGACAAGGAGAACACAAUAGGGCAGUAAAGGAAAGCUUGACUCAGUUUGUGCAUGGGUUCCCAUGCCUCAUCCCUGGGACUAGGUAGAGUAGGGCUCCUCAAACUCAGCGCUGUGAACAGCUGGGGCUGGACAGUACUCUGUUGGUGGGGGGUUACCCUCUGCAUUGUAGGGUAUUUAAUGACAUUCCUCACCUUUACCCACUAGGUGCUAUUAAUUAAUAUUCCCUCAGCUGUGACAACCAUAGAUGUCUCCAGACAUUGACAAAUAUCUCUGGGUGGAAAAAGUUGCCCUAAUUGGAAACCAUUAGUUGACAGCAAAAGACUAAUUCCUGUCAGCACUGACUGGUGGGACCACUUUCUUGAUCAGAAUUGGUUCAGGAAUAGGCACAGUUGAAUCUGUCAAUUAAGGCUCUCUGGAUCUGCAGACAAGCAGGGCUAGUACUUGACAGAAACUGUCCAAAGACCUUUAGCACUAAAAUGAGAAAAACCAUUAAGUGUUGGAGAGGAGAAGGCUAUCAUUGUGUUUGGAGUUAAGAAGAGGGUGGAGAAGGAAGAUGAAGAUGUCAGGGUGAAGUUAGGUCUAUAAGUCUGAGCCAAGUUGAGAGCUUAUGGUAGAGGCCACGCCUGCUCCAUUGGGCUUGUCUAGACCAAGACCUAUUAUUCAGAACCCCCAGUCCUUGCCAUUUGGUGCACUUUGGUAUCCAAAUCCUACAUUUUGAUAGAGCACUGAGCAAAGGCCUAGGUGGAUCUUUGAUGAUGAAGUCCGUGCUUGUCACUCCAACUUGAUGAUCCACUCUCUUCCAUAUGGCUGUCUGGUUCAUUAUGAGAAGGCUUACAGGAGGCUACAAUGGCAACUUUCCAGCAAUAUGAAUGCUUUGAAGGCUCAGAUGAACUCUGUUAAGAGAAGAAUGCCCAGCAAGGUCCAGGAUAAUGUUUAUGCUGAAUCUUGUCCAAGUUUCUCUUCCUGGGAAAGAUAUUAGCUGACUCUGGAGCUAAGUCUAAGUUGAGGCCAGUGAGACCUGUCCUGUAGCUUCAUCCCCAUAACAAUGGUUGAUACUGGCUUUAUUCAUGGCUUCCUAUCUACUGUUUCCAGAGAUGAUCUUUCACAGUCUUCAAUAAGCCUUCAACUCUCAGGAAUUUUACCAUUUCUAAAUUCAGGAUUUCUGCUAUUUCCUGUGGUUAUAUUGGCCCUAUAAACAGCACAUCUUUCUUUUCAGUGAAGAAAUUAAAUGUCACAUAGUCUGCUCUGAGAAAAGAGCCAAGUUCAGGGCAGAGACUACCUUCCUGGGUACCCCCCAAGAAGGAGUCUUGAUCACUUCUCUAAACAUGCCCUGGAUGUUCCCAGAGCUCAUGAAAACGCUGCUCUCCAGUGGUGCUAGCAGCUCUGAUGAAGGCUAAGUCCAAGCUCUGAAUUCAGGAGAGCAGAGCUGCCUCCUGCUCCCACCACCGUGGUUCUCAGGCAGUAAUGGUUCUAUUAUUGGCCAUGUCAAUUGGAGCAACCAUUUGGAAAGUCAUUUGGCAACAUCUCCCAAAGCUGAAUAUACAUGAAGCCUAGGAGCCAGGAAUUCCACUUCCAGGAUAUGCCCAAUAGAAAUGAAUACAUAUGUUCACCAAAAGGCGUGUCCUAGAAUGUUUAUAAUUGUGAACAGACCAAAGCUAGAAACUAUCCAAGUGUCCAUCAACAAUGGAGUGGGAAAUAAAAUGUCUCUUCGUACAAUGGAAUCUACAUAGCAAUGAGAACAAAGAACUUACAAAAGUACACAGCAACAUGGAUGAAAUUCACAAGCAUAAUUCCGAACAAAAAAUGCCAUGUACCAAAAAGCUUAUAGCAUAUGACUCCAUUUAUGUACAGUAGAAAAACAGGCAAAACAGCUAGCCUGUUAGAAGUCAGAAUGGUGGUUACCCUUUGAGGGGCUGUUCCUAGAUGGGGACUCAUGGGGUAAUGUUCAUUCCAUGUCUUGAACUGUGCACUGAUUACACUGGUGUGUUUAGCUUGUGAAAUGUAUCCACCUAUACACUUAUGUGGUUUUCUGUAUGUACAUUAUAUUUCAAUAACAUUUUAAGAAAGUGUUUUGCCACUUAUUAGUUCAUUUGACCCACACAACAGUUCUAGGAGAUAAGAAGGCCAGGUAACUUUUCUUCAGAUUUAUAGAAAGAAAACAGACUCAAAGUUUGGUCCAAGGUCUCAGUGCUAAUUGGUGGUGGAAUCAGGUUAGGUAUGUCAACCUCCUGGGCCAAGAAAGAUAGUCUCUGUUGGAGCACCUUGCACAGUGCUUGAUGCAUAGUAGGUGCUCAAUAAAUUUCAUCUGAAGCUGGAUCAUAGAAUGGUGGCCUUCUAAUCCCACAAGGCUGUUAUCCUGCUGUGGGAGUAACCAUCUUCUCUGGUGGUCUAAUGUCCCUUAUAGAAUGUGCGUAUUCUCUCCUAAGAGAAGAGUGGAGAUGAGGCCUGAGUCAAAUAUCCUAAGAAGCUGCCAAAAUACCUGUGGAGAAUUGCAUAACCUUGUCCCUCUAGGGCUUAGAAAAGAAUGAGUCAGACAGUCAGUUCUCAGACACGGUGCCCAGGAAAACAGGAAGAAGGUUCACUUAGGCAGAAAUCCAUGUAUGUGACCUUGGAUACAUCACUGAACUUCUUCAGGGGCAACAAUUUGAAAGACACAUUUGAGACACUCUGCCUAGGAUGACGUGAUCCUUCUGUAGCUGAUCUUCUGAGACCCGUGAAUUUUAUGUACUAUUUUCUAAUUAUAUUCUCAUUAUUUUCAAGGGCAUCAGACUGCAUUUCAAACUUGACAAUUCCUUUGCUAUAAUUUCAGCUCAAAUUUUGACUAAUUUAUACUUUAAAUACAAAUAUGCCCCAUUUUCUGCUUGUCAUCAUAGUUCAGAAAGAAGUUAUACCGACCAUGUUAUAUAAAGUAAUGAGGGGUCCUAUUCAGCUUGUUAACCAUGUUUCUUAAAAAAAAAAAGUACAAUAGAACUUUCUUUGUCAAUAUAAAAUUCGAGUUAUUUAUGAUGUGGCUAAAGAUAUGAUAAGAAGUCUCAGGAAUGGAAUCUGUUAUUGCUUGGAAAAUAAAAUCUCAAGACCUUCUUUGGAAAAAAAUGGAGAGUGAUAAAAUGCUUUCAUUUAGGGCUUGGCUGUGAUGUCAAGGUCAGCCAAUGAGCUUAGAGGGAAUCUGAGAAAAAUAAAGAGAAAAAUAGAAACAGAUGUCUGGAAAAUCUUCUUGAAUAUUGCUGGUGAAAUUGUAUGGUUAGAAGACAAAAUUUCAGUGUUACAUCCAUCAUCCUAAAAAGGUUAUAAUGAAAGCCAUUUAAAUUGGUGUUCAAAAACCUUGUGAGAACUUUGGUUGACUGUAUUCCACCAUGAAGUGCGUUUUGAUCUGAAGUCUUGGUUAGGGUAUUCCUCCAAUAGGUCAGCUGCCAUGGGCCUCCUAUUAAGUCAAAGUCUCUAUUUCAAAUUAGCAUAAGAGAGAACGCUGAUGAAAAGGGGAAUAAGAAUAAAGCUAAAUAAUUGUUUUGGCUUCUGAUUGAUCAGCAUCUAUGUUCUCAGAAGCAAGUUUCUUUUUGCCUCUAGUUGCUGCUGAUGGUAGGAAACAGAAAAAUACCUGUCUUAAAAAGUUGCCGAAGAUGGUCAGUUGAAAGGGUUGAAGAGCCUAACAGAGGAAAUAGAUCACCAAUAAUGGAGCUAAAAAGGAAUGAAAGUAGACAGCUUAGAGAUAGGACCCUUGGAGACACUCAGAUGGAAGGGUUGUCAAAAGGCUAAGCAUAAAAGACCAGGAAGAGCUAUAAUUCUAAUUAAGGUUCAGGAUGGUUUAAAAAGGAAAAUAAUCAAGAUUGGUAAGAAGAGUUUAAACUUAUAGUAGUGAUAAUGAUUUGACAGUUUGUUCUAGAAUGUCUAUCUAUUUUACUGAUUAGUUUUCAAGAGUGCUGUAAUUCAUACUAAGAAAAGUAGAGAAAGCUGAUUAUUUCUAACUCAGUACUACAAAGGUUUGACUUAAUUCUGUUAAAUUCCUGGCUUACUGCUAAUUGUAUGACCUUGGAUAAAUUACUUCACCCCUCCAAGCCUCACUGUCUUCAUCUGUAAAAUGGAGAAAUAGUAGCACCUACUUCAUGACAUCACUUUGAGGCCUCCAUGGUGGAUAUGAAUUGCUUAUUCCAGAGCUUAGAUUAUAUUAAAAGAAUACUACAUGGUUUUUGUUGAUGGUGGUAAUGAUGAUGUCCUUGAAUAUCUUUAAAUUGAGGUGCUCAUCUCUACCUUGUCUUUCAAAAGAUUCGAAGUGUCUUAAGUCCCAAAUAAUAAAUAAAAUUUUAUUUCUUUUUAUUUCUUGUUUAUAUCUCACCUCC